GAUGAACGCUGGCGGCGUGCCUAAUACAUGCAAGUCGAGCGAACAGACGAGGAGCUUGCUCCUCUGACGUUAGCGGCGGACGGGUGAGUAACACGUGGAUAACCUACCUAUAAGACUGGGAUAACUUCGGGAAACCGGAGCUAAUACCGGAUAAUAUAUUGAACCGCAUGGUUCAAUAGUGAAAGACGGUUUUGCUGUCACUUAUAGAUGGAUCCGCGCCGCAUUAGCUAGUUGGUAAGGUAACGGCUUACCAAGGCAACGAUGCGUAGCCGACCUGAAAGGGUGAUUGGCCACACGGGAAGUGAGACACGGUCCAGACUCCUACGGGAGGCAGCAGUAGGGAAUCUUACGCAAUGGGCGAAAGCCUGACGGAGCAACGCCGCGUGAGUGAUGAAGGUCUUCGGAUCGUAAAACUCUGUUAUUAGGGAGGAACAAAUGUGUAAGUAACUAUGCACGUCUUGACGGUACCUAAGCAGAAAGCCACGGCUAACUACGUG
rnacentral:rRNA from 1 species